GUAACAUAAUUUAUUGAUUAUUGAAAGAAGAGGUCUGUGAUUAUAAUGGUUUAUUCAUUCAAAUUUAUGUGUAUCGUCAUGUCUUGGUGUAUUUGGACCGUUAGUCAUUGGCAUAUGGUAGUUCUUUUAUGGUUCCUAUUUUUAAAUACCUCACUCUCGGUGUCCAUUUUAACCAUUUUGUUGAUACAUUUCAUGGUACAAUGAUGUUAUUUGAGGAACAUGGACAUUUUUAAUCUAUACAUCUAGACUAUAUAUUGACCGACAAAACAAAUAAUUGUACUUUUUCACACAAUUUGAAAUGAUGUUCGGCCACAUUCACAUUUAGAAGCUUACCAUGUUCUACAAGUUGAGAUUAAUAGUAUAUAGUUUAAUAUAUGAUUUUAAUUUUGUCUAAUGCAAUUUUCUUCUCAAUAACUGCACUAUACAUUUAAAGAUGUAUUAGCAUUAGAACUUGACCUUCUCUAUCACAUAUUGAACUGAACGAAUUUCUUAUUUAUAUAUAGAAAUUCACGUGACAGUGUGUCAUGCUAGAUGAAGGGACUAAAAAACAUGUGCGCAGUGCUAUCACAAGUGGAAAUGGACUCUUUGUUCUAUUGAGACUGUAAAAACCACACCAAAUAUUGUGUGCAGUUGUCGGACCCAAAGAGGACAAACUACCAAGCUUGAUGAAGAAUUCAUUUUUGGUCUACCAUUGAAUCUGGAUGUUGUCUUCAUUUCUAUAUGAAGUGUAGGCUCUACUUUCAGAUUGAUAAGUGAAUGAUUUGGAAAAUGCAUAACUUGAAACCAAAUGCCUUCUUCCCAAACGAAAUUGGCCAAAGUUGGUAAAGGAGAAAUAGUUGUUACAGCGCAUCAAUUGCGUUGAAGAUGUACAAGCUAAAACAUACUGGUAGCUUUUAUAAUUU